rnacentral:rRNA from 1 species
AUCACUAAGCGGAGGAAAAGAAACUAACAAGGAUUCCCUCAGUAACGGCGAGUGAAGCGGGAAUAGCCCAGCACCGAAUCCCCUACCUUGUCGGUGGCGGCAACUGUGGUGUUUAGGAGAGCCUCUGCGGCGACUUCGGGUGUCCGAGUCCUCCUGAUCGGGGCUUCACCCGGAGCGGGUGUCAGGCCUCUACGGCCCUCGUCGUCGUCGCUUUGAGCCUCCUUGGAGUCGGGUUGUUUGGGAAUGCAGCCCAAAGUGGGUGGUAAACUCCAUCUAAGGCUAAAUACUGACACUAGUCCGAUAGCGGACAAAUACCGUGAGGGAAAGUU